rnacentral:rRNA from 1 species
UAAGACGAACCGUGCGAACGUUAUUCGGAAUCAUUGGGCUUAAAGGGCGCGUAGGCGGGUCAGCACGUCGGAACUGAAAUCCCCCGGCUCAACCGGGGAACGGGCUCCGAUACGGUUGACCUCGAGGUGAGAAGGGGGACCUGGAACGUCCGGUGGAGCGGUGAAAUGCGUUGAGAUCGGACGGAACGCCAAUGGCGAAAGCAAGGUCCUGGACUCAUACUGACGCUG